GAGUCGCUAGCUCAGUUGGUAGAGCAACGGCCUUUUAAGCCGUGGGUCCUGGGUUCGAAUCCCAGGCGACUCA
rnacentral:tRNA from 1 species